rnacentral:rRNA from 1 species
GACGAACGCUGGCGGCGUGCCUAAUACAUGCAAGUAGAACGCACAGUUUAUAUCGUAGCUUGCUACACCAUAAACUCUGAGUUGCGAAUGGGUGAGUAACGCGUAGGUAACCUGCCUGGUAGCGGGGGAUAACUCUUGUACACGUUCCCUAAUACCACAUAAUAUUAAUUAUUUCAUGAUAAUUGAUUGAAUGAUGCAAUUGCAUCACUACCAGAUGGACCUGCGUUGUAUUAGCUAGUAGGUGAGGUAACGGCUCACCUAGGCGACGAUACAUAGCCGACCUGAGAGGGUGAUCGGCCACACUGGGACUGAGACACGGCCCAGACUCCUACGGGAGGCAGCAGUAGGGAAUCUUCGGCAAUGGACGAAAGUCUGACCGAGCAACGCCGCGUGAGUGAAGAAGGUUUUCGGAUCGUAAAGCUCUGUUGUAAGAGAAGAACGGGUGUGAGAGUGGAAAGUUCACACUGUGACGGUAUCUUACCAGAAAGGGACGGCUAACUACGUG